GCAGAGGCGAAGCCAACCCCAGGGCCCCUCACAGACCUCGGUGUCAGAAUUUCCCCCCUUGCACCAGCGCUGCCUUAAAUGUCAGGGCUCGCCCACUCUUCUCGUCUCGCCGACCUAACCUUUCGGGGGGCUCGGAGGGGAAAUUUGACGUUAAUGCCGGACUUCUUCAGGACGUGCCCUAAACCCAGUCUUCAGUGGAGGAUCCCUCAUAAGGAAAUGAAGACCCAGAGAAGAGGCAAAACCUAAGUGCUUAUAUAAUGGGUUGAAGAGAGCAGCAAUUGUGGGAAAGUAAUUAAGUAAAAUGCAGAGACUAAAGGAAGG